AAACCUGGCAGGAGAGAGACAAUGAUCAUGACGGUUGUGCUCCCAGGGUGAGGUUAUCCCAUUGCACUCCUGGUGUGUUGAUGUUACGAUAUCCCCAAAUGUGGGAUACACGACUGUGAAAUUUGUAGCUGUGGGGGAUGGCAUUCGUGCUUUCCCCUG